rnacentral:lncRNA from 1 species
AAAACUGAAUAGAAUAAAACACAAUCUGUGAUUGAAAAAUACUCAGGACACUAGAACUCAGCCCUCCUUCUAGCGCCAAUGUUAACGCCAGGAUCUUUCUCCACGUCCCAAUCACGAAAGACGUCCUGAUCCUGCACAGUAAACACGACAAACACCACAAGCUUGACGGCCGGACCGUCGGGGGAUAGCUCAGGCGUGAGAGUAAGUAUGUCUGUUCACAAGGUUAACUCAAGAGGAUGAUAAAAUCUAGUGUAAUGAGAGAGAUUAUUAUUAUCAGUUGUGUGAAUGUGUAUAUAUCAAGAAACGUACCUCCUUGUGAAGACUUACUCGCCAAGAAAUAAUAUCUUUGCCUGGAUUACUGUGCCACCCACUACCAUCUGAC